rnacentral:rRNA from 1 species
UACGGAGGGUGCUAGCGUUGUUCGGAAUCACUGGGCGUAAAGCGCGUGUAGGCGGCCUGCGAAGUCUGAUGUGAAAGCCCGGGGCUCACCCCCGGAAGUGCAUUGGAAACUGGCAGGCUUGAGUCCCGGAGAGGAGAGUGGAAUUCCUGGUGUAGCGGUGAAAUGCGUAGAUAUCAGGAGGAACACCGGUGGCGAAGGCGGCUCUCUGGACGGUGACUGACGCUGAGACGCGAAAGCGUGGGGAGCAAACAGG